UACGUAGGUGGCAAGCGUUGUCCGGAUUUACUGGGUGUAAAGGGCGUGUAGGCGGAGCUGCAAGUCAGAUGUGAAAUCCCGGGGCUCAACCCCGGAACUGCAUUUGAAACUGUAGCCCUUGAGUAUCGGAGAGGCAGGCGGAAUUCCUAGUGUAGCGGUGAAAUGCGUAGAUAUUAGGAGGAACACCAGUGGCGAAGGCGGCCUGCUGGACGACAACUGACGAUGAGGCGCGAAAGCGUGGGGAGCAAACAGG
rnacentral:rRNA from 1 species